CCGAUUUUCUGAUCGCCUUGAUAUCUGCAAAAGGGACUUUUUAAGAACGUUAAUUAUAAUUCUAACGAAAAAUCGUAGCUUCUUUAUCAUUGUAUGUAACAGAUUAUCUACAAACUAAAUUCAAUCAGCGUACAGGAGGUUCAUGUCUAUCCUGUUACCGCUACUUAAAUCAGUCGUUAAAUUAUUCUCCCUAUGAAUAUUGAAUCAGUCAGUGUUGAUUUCAAAAAUGCAAAGUAAACUUUACAUUUAAAACG
rnacentral:lncRNA from 1 species